GAUGACUCUUGCCCUCCACCCAACAGUGCCAGAGGUUCCCAAAAGUCUCCUCAGUCUCCCUUAAAAGAGGGUCUCAGCCUUGUCAGGCUCCCUAAGUCCAGAAAGCUCCAGAGGCCAGACCAGACCAUCUCAGGCUGGUGACCCAGCCUGGGUCCCGCCCAGCAGCCUGACCUCUAGCCUUGGGGACAGAGACCUCUCAGCCAUGACACUGAGUUCCCACUGAUUCUGGCCGUGGUUAAUCCAGUUGGGGUCCCCCAGGCCGUCCCGGGAUCCCCUUGGGCUCCCCUCAGAUCCAUCACCAUCCCCCCAAGGCAUGGAAGCUCUUCCUGGCAGGACAGCGGGCUUUAAGUCCAGCCCCCAGCACCUGCCUUUAUCAUGGCCCCACCCAACCCCUAAAAGAGAGGGAACCCCAGAGGGCAAGAUAGUUUGUUACCCCCUCCCAACCCCUUAGACGCACUAUGAUUUUUGCUUUCUUCUUUAGCAAGAUAUUCUGGCUUUUAGGUGAGGAUGACUCUCCAGUGAGCACCCACACCCC
rnacentral:lncRNA from 1 species